GAUGAACGCUGGCGGCGUGCCUAAUACAUGCAAGUCGAGCGAACAGACGAGGAGCUUGCUCCUCUGACGUUAUCGGCGGACGGGAGAGUAACACGUGGAUAACCUACCUCUAAGACUGGGAUAACUUCGGGAAACCGGAGCUACUGCCGGAUAAUAUAUUGAACCGCAUGGUUCACUAGUGAAAGACGGUUUUGCUGUCACUUAUAGAUGGCUACGGGGCGCAUUAGCUAGUUGGUUAGGUAACGGCUUACCAACGCAACGACGCGUAGCCGACCUGAGAGGGUGGUCGGCCACACUGGAACUGAGACACGUCCCAGACUCCGACGGUAGGAAGCAGUACGGAAUCUUACGCAAUGGGCGAAAGCCUGACGGAGCAACGCCGCGUGAGGGAUGAAGGUCUUCUGACCGGAAAACUCUGUUAUUAGUGAAGAACAAAUGUGUAAGUAACUAUGCACGUCUUGACGGUACCGAAACAGAAAGCCACGGCUAACUACGUG
rnacentral:rRNA from 1 species